GGAAUCUUAUGAGCCUGGGAGUGUUGGAAUCUUUGGAAUUCGGUUGAGAGAAACUGUUUCUCUGGAUCUGAAGAGGAAAGGAGAGAGAAGUGUGGCCAAAUCUGUCAGAAGAUGAAUUCCCAAGUCACUAGCCUUUGAAGAUCCUUUGGCUGUGGUAAGGAUUUAUUCUUCAAUGAUCUGCUGGUUAGGAAUUGAGGAGCUGUCUUCAACUUGGAGGACUUAUCAAUUGUGGACAUUUCACCUUGGAUUCCUGUUUUGGCUCUCAGGGACUCUAUUGUUUUGUGGAAAAGGACUGCAUCAAGGUAAAAUAAAGACUGCAAAAUGAUUGGCAGGAGCAUGUGACUGGAAUCUUAUGAGCCUGGGAGUGUUGGAAUGUUUAGGAUUCAGUUGAGAGAAACUGUAUCUCUGGAUCUGAAGAGGAAAGGAGAAAGAAGUGUGGCCAAAUCUGUCAGAAGAUCAAUUCCCAAGACACUAGCCUAUGAAGAUCCUUUGGCUGUGGUAAGGAUUUAUUCUUCAAUCGUCUGCUGGUCAGGGAUUGAGGAGCUAUCUUCAACUUGGAGGAGUUAUCAUUUGUGUACAUUUCACCUUGGAUUCCUGUUUUGGCUCCCAGAGACUCUAUUAUAUCAUGAUUGCAACUCCUGCCUUCUUUCUAUCAGUUGAGGCUCAGAAGGUCUUACUCCUUCCUUUAAUUCUGACCUUGAGGAUCCAUUCAGAGAUUCUGCAACUACCUGGAGCACACAGAUCAGAGUCCAGACAUACAGAAUCCAGAAAGAUGAAGAUACAGAUUAAGAGAAAAAAAUAUCCACCUAAAGUUUAAUCAAUGUUAUUGUUAUUGUUAUUGUAAUAUACUUGUUGUGCUUCAUAGACCCUAAAUUCACCUAGGUCCCUUUAGAAUGAUGACUUAGCUACAAAAGUAGAUCUCCUGAAAUAAUCAGUAUGUUAUUUAGGAGAUGAAUUGGAAACCAUCAAAACAAUAUUGUAACUGAAAUGCAAUUAUAGAUAUAUGGCCAUUUGUGUAACACCUUUUUUCCAUUUGGACAAUUUUUUUUCUUUUUCAGCUGUUAUUUUCUUUUUUAAUUACUUUCAUUUUUUACCCACUUUUCUUCCCAUUUUCUUGAACUCCUUUUUGAGUCCCUCCAGAGCUUGUGACCAAUUUCCUUUUUUGGUGUCUAAUUUGCAUGUAUUUGUUUCUCACUCUCUACUGUUUCUUCCAUAAUUUGCUCUUUUUCUCCACUGGAAUUUCCAGGGUCAAGAGCUGUUUUGACUAUUGUUUUCUCCUUUUCUUGCUGGAGGAUUAGAGUUCCUCCAUAUUGGUGGUCAUUACUAUCUUGGUUUCUGUCUCAUAGGGCUAUGCCUUGGGAUUAUUUUCCCUUCCCUGGCAGAGCCCUGAGUGAGGGCAGCUUGAUCUGUGGUAAAUUUUGUGUAGUGGACUUCGAAGUGUUUUGCCCUGAGGCUAUCUUCCUCAGUAGUUGCUAUUACUAUUGCUCCUGCUGUUGAUGCUGCUGCUGCCUCAACUGCUGCUGCUUUUACAGCUCUCAGCCCCAUUUUCUAUGGCUGGUAUUUUCAAGGGUGUGGGUCUGUAGUUACAGUACACUGUAUCAGCUUAUGCUCUGAAGCUAUGUAAUUUAGCUGCUGCCACCACCACUGCUGUUGCCUCAACACCUCUCCCAAUGCUGACUCAUCAUCUCUGCUGUUGCUGCUUCUGCUGCUGCAGCUCUGAGCCCCACCUCAUGUGUUUAAUAUUUUAUUUUCUUAUUUAUAUUUCCCUUUUUAUUUUUACAUUUUUUAUUUAAUUAAUUAAUUUAGAAUAUUUUCCUUGCUUACAUGAUUCAUGUUCUUCCUCUCCCCUCCUCCCACCCACCUCCCAUAGCCAACUCUCAAUGACUGGUGUGUUCAAGAGAACUCCAAGAAUUUGAAGAUUUCCUUAGCCCUGAUUCUAACUGGCAUGGUGAGUGGGAGGGGAAGUCACUUGUGCAGAUUAUAGCUUGGGAAUCCCUUUUCUCUGUCUACCUCUCUCAGUGCUUCCACUGGAAGAGUUCCUUUACUCAUCCUGUUUCAACCUGUGUCCUCUUGGGACUCUGUAAUGAUCUGUUUGGAAGAAUUUUCUGAGAGGCUCCCAGUUUUUCCUGUUACUAAGCUAUCAUAUUGGCUAUAACUCCAAGGAAAUUCCUAAGAAAAAAUGGAUUCAAAACUAAAUUUUAUCAAACAUUUAAAGAACAAACAAUCUAAAUACCAUACAAACUAAUUGACAAAAUAAGCAAAGAAAAGUUCCCAAAUUCUUCUUAUGACACAAAUAUUGUACUGAUUCAAAGCCAGGCAGAGCAAAACCAGAAAAGCAAACUACAGACCAAUCUCCUUAGAGAAAAUAUGUGCAAAAAUCUUAAAUAAAAUAUUACAAGAAGUUAUCACAAGGAUUAUUCAUUGUGACAAUGUAGGACUGAUACCAUGAAUGCAAGGAUGGUUUAAUUUUAGGAAAACUAUCCACAUAAUUGACCAUAUCCAUAAUCAAAUCAACAAAAAUCAUAUGAUAAUCUCAAUAGAUGCAGAAAAAAACCUUUGACAAAAUAUAACACUCAUUUCUAUUGAAAACACUAGAAAGCAAGGGAAUAGAAGGGCCCUUCCUCAAAAUAAUAAAACAGCAUAUAUUUAAAACCAUCAGCAAGAAUCAUCUGAAAAGGAGAUAAUUUAGAGGCCUUCCCAAUGAGAACAGGAGUGAAGCAAGAAUGUCCAUUAUGACAACUAUUAUUUAACACUGUGCUAGAAACAC